GAAUUUUAUAUAAAUUUAUUUAUAGAGAUUAAUAGUUAAUUAGUAAGGUAAGUAAAUUUUAUAUUUAGUUGGGAGGAUUAUUAAAUUAAAAAAACUUAAAUUUUUAAGUAAAAUAUAGAUAAAUAAAGAAGUUAAAGAAUGAUUAUUAAAUAAAUAAGAAAUAAUUACCUUAGGGAUAACAGCGUAAUAUUUUUAGAUAGAUCAUAUAGAUAAAAAUGAUUGC
rnacentral:rRNA from 1 species